rnacentral:rRNA from 1 species
AGCGAACGCUGGCGGCAGGCUUAACACAUGCAAGUCGAACGGGCACUUCGGUGUCAGUGGCAGACGGGUGAGUAACACGUGGGAACGUACCUUUUGGUUCGGAACAACUGAGGGAAACUUCAGCUAAUACCGGAUAAGCCCUUACGGGGAAAGAUUUAUCGCCGAAAGAUCGGCCCGCGUCUGAUUAGCUAGUUGGUAGGGUAAUGGCCUACCAAGGCGACGAUCAGUAGCUGGUCUGAGAGGAUGAUCAGCCACAUUGGGACUGAGACACGGCCCAAACUCCUACGGGAGGCAGCAGUGGGGAAUAUUGGACAAUGGGGGCAACCCUGAUCCAGCCAUGCCGCGUGAGUGAUGAAGGCCCUAGGGUUGUAAAGCUCUUUUGUGCGGGAAGAUAAUGACGGUACCGCAAGAAUAAGCCCCGGCUAACUUCGUGCCAGCCGCCGCCGUAA